rnacentral:rRNA from 1 species
UACGAAGGGGGCUAGCGUUGCUCGGAAUCACUGGGCGUAAAGGGCGCGUAGGCGGCCUGAUAAGUCGGGGGUGAAAGCCUGUGGCUCAACCACAGAAUUGCCUUCGAUACUGUUAGGCUUGAGACCGGAAGAGGUAAGUGGAACUGCGAGUGUAGAGGUGAAAUUCGUAGAUAUUCGCAAGAACACCAGUGGCGAAGGCGGCUUACUGGUCCGGUUCUGACGCUGAGGCGCGAAAGCGUGGGUAGCAAACAGG